rnacentral:rRNA from 1 species
GGGACGAACGCUGGCGGCGUGCUUAACACAUGCAAGUCAAGGGGGCCCAGCAAUGGGCAACCGGCGAACGGGUGCGUAACACGUGAGCAACCUACCGAAAUGUGGGGGAUAGCCGGCCUAACGGCCAAGUAAUACCGCAUACGCUCUCGAUGAGGCAUUUCAUUGAGAGGAAACCUACGGGACAUUUCGAGGGGCUCGCGGCCUAUCAGCUAGUUGGAGAGGUAACGGCUCACCAAGGCAACGACGGGUAGC